GAUGAGGAUUCGUGGCUGUGUUUGCUGGGCUUCUUUUCCUUCUUGUUCUUCUGUUUGUUUUUCCCACUUUCAUCACUGCCUCGUCCCUUCUUUCCUCGUCUCUUGUUGCCUCUUUGCUUGUGGCCCUUCUCUUCAGAUGAAGCAUCUCUCUUCUCUCUUGGGUUACCAGACACGCCAUCUGACAUUUCAGUGGUUCUAGAGCUGGCUGUUGGUUUGUUGGCUCCAUGGUUUUCCAUUUCAUGGCUUUGCUCACUUGUCUCAUCACUUUCUUCACUUUCUUCACUACUUUGUCCUUUCUUGCCACGUUUCUUGUCACCCCGCUUCUUGUUGCCUCUUUGCUUAUGGCCCUUCUCUUCAGAAGAAGCAUCUCUCUUCUCUCUUGGGUUACCAGAUACACCGUUUGACAUUUCAGUGGUUCCAGAGCUGGCUGUCGGUUUGUUGGCUCCGUGGUUUUCCAUUUCAUGGCUUUGCUCACUGGUCUCGUCACUUUCUUCACUACUUUGUCCUUUCUUGCCACGUUUCUUGUCACCCCGCUUCUUGUUGCCUCUUUGCCUAUGGCCCUUCUCUUCAGAAGAAGCAUCUCUCUUCUCUCUUGGGUUCCCAGAUACGCCAUCUGACAUUUCAUUGGUACUAGAGCUGGCUGUUGGUUUGUUGGCUCCGUGGUUUUCCAUUUCAUGGCUUUCUUCACUGCUGCUGUCGCUUUCUCCACUUUCCUCACUGCUCUGUCCCUUCCUGCCUCGUCUCUUGUCACUCCUUUCUCUAAAGUCUUUCUUUGAAGCCCAUCGCUUUCUUCUUAAACUGGGAACAGUGGUGCUUAUCAUUGGGGCUGAGGAGAUUGUUGAGUCAAUGUCUUGUUCAGUGGCGGUUUGGUUUCCUUCAGAUGAUUGUGUUGUUUGCCUAGCAGCUGCUGUUGGGAGCACUGCAUCUCCAGUCACCAGGUUAGAGUCAAGUUGGGAUCUUCUCUCUAGUUCACAAGUAACUGCAAGGAAAACAAGAAAGACAAGACACAUUUAGGAUUAGUCAUUAUGAGCCCUUGGGUUCAGAAACUACAUCUUUCAAUGUAUUUUUUCAAUCACAUGUUGUUCAUGUAAUAUCUGAGACACUAUUUGACGUAAAUAGGUUUCUUACCAAGAGCCAGGAUUUGGUCCUUGUAUCUGCCAUACUUUCUGGGCAGAGGCAGAACCUGCUGGAGUUUCUGCCUCAGCUCACAUUUGGAGACGAUCCUGCUCUCAGAGAGGUUGAGCACGAGAGCGGCUCCAGUCAACGCCAACAGCAAUCCCAGCUUCAUGACUUCAAACUCUGCAACAAUGCAUUUAAACAAAUUAACAAAGGUUAAGCAAAUGUUGUUGGUAGAAAGGCUAAACUCAAUUUAGUUUUAGUAAAAACAUAAUUUUAAAUGCAUAAACAGAAAUACAAAAAAAAGUCAAUUCAAAGAGUUAAAAUGUCCCUGACAGAACUUAAAAAAAACUAUUAGUAAAAGGACCCUCACCUUUUUACCUUCCUGCUUGUCUUUCUAUCUUGAGUUUUGUCUCAGAGUGCAACGACCAGAGAAGUUCU
rnacentral:lncRNA from 1 species